AUUGAACGCUGGCGGAAUGCUUUACACAUGCAAGUCGAACGAUGAACCUUAGCUUGCUAAGGGGAUUAGUGGCGAACGGGUGAGUAAUGUAUCGGAACGUAUCCAAUAAUGGGGGAUAACUAGUCGAAAGAUUAGCUAAUACCGCAUACGUCCUACGGGAGAAAGCUAGGGACCUUCGGGCCUGGCGUCAAUGGAGCGGCCGAUACCUGAAUAGCUAGUUGGUGGGGUAAAGGCUCACCAAGGCGACGAUCAGUAGCUGGUAUGAGAGGACGACACGCCACGCUGGAACUGAGACACGGUCCAGACUCCUACGGGAGGCAGCAGUGGGGAAUUUUGGACAAUGGGCGAAAGACUGAUCCAGCCAUUCCGCGUGAGUGAAGAAGGCCUUCGGGUUGUAAAGCUCUUUCGCAAGGGAAGAAAACUUAAGCUCUAACAUAGCUUGAGGUUGACGGUACCUUGAUAAGAAGCACCGGCUAACUACGUGCCAGCCGCCGCGGUAA
rnacentral:rRNA from 1 species